GAGCGGUAAGGCCUUUCGGGGUACACGAGCGGCGAACGGGUGAGUAAACGUGGGUGAUCUGCCCUGCACUUCGGGAUAAGCCUGGGAAACUGGGUCUAAYACCGGAUAUGACCUCCURUCGCAUGGGGGUGGUGGAAAGAUUUAUCGGUGCAGGAUGGGCCCGCGGCCUAUCAGCUUGUUGGUGGGGUAAUGGCCUACCAAGGCGCGACGGGUAGCCGACCUGAGAGGGUGACCGGCCACACUGGGACUGAGACACGGCCCAGACUCCUACGGGAGGCAGCAGUGGGAAUAUUGCACAAUGGGCGAAAGCCUGAUGCAGCGACGCCGCGUGAGGGAUGACGGCCUUCGGGUUGUAAACCUCUUCAGCAGGGACGAAGCGCAAGUGACGGUACCUGCAGAAGAAGCACCGGCUAACUACGUGCCAGCAGCCGCGGUAAUACGUGGGUGCAAGCGUUGUCCGGAAUUACUGGGCGUAAAGAGUUCGUAGGCGGUUUGUCGCGUCGUUUGUGAAAACCAGCAGCCAACUGCUGGCUUGCAGGCGAUACGGGCAGACUUGAGUACUGCAGGGGAGACUGGAAUUCCUGGUGUAGCGGUGAAAUGGCAGAUAUCAGGAGGAA
rnacentral:rRNA from 1 species